GAGCGGCGGACGGGUGAGUAACACGUAAGGAACCUGCCUCAAGGAUUGGGAUAACUCCGAGAAAUCGGAGCUAAUACCGGAUAGUUCAACGGACCGCAUGGUCCGCUGAUGAAAGGCGCUCCGGCGUCACCUUGAGAUGGCCUUGCGGUGCAUUAGCUAGUUGGUGGGGUAACGGCCCACCAAGGCGACGAUGCAUAGCCGACCUGAGAGGGUGAUCGGCCACACUGGGACUGAGACACGGCCCAGACUCCUACGGGAGGCAGCAGUAGGGAAUCUUCCACAAUGGACGAAAGUCUGAUGGAGCAACGCCGCGUGAGUGAUGAAGGUUUUCGGAUCGUAAAACUCUGUUGUAAGGGAAGAACACGUACGAGAGGAAAUGCUCGUACCUUGACGGUACCUUACGAGAAAGCCACGGCUAACUACGUGCCAGCAGCCGCGGUAAUACGUAGGUGGCAAGCGUUGUCCGGAAUUAUUGGGCGUAAAGCGCGCGCA
rnacentral:rRNA from 1 species